rnacentral:lncRNA from 1 species
AACAAAGUUUAUUAUAGCCUCCUUGUGCACUGGAGAGCACAGGGAGCUGAGUUUUGUGGCCCCAAUGCGAAGCACUUGGUUUUUCAGUUUCCUCUGCCUGGAAUGAUAUCUCCUCCCCUCUCUUCCUGGUUGGUUCCAGCUCAUCUUUCAAUUUGGCCCUGGUAUCCCCUUCAGGCCCUGUCGGUGAGUCCCCUGAGCUUUCCUUUACCACUGUGGCAUCUCUUGUGAUGCCUCCGCAUCAGACUGUGUGUGGAGACCACCUCAUGUCCCUCUAUGUCCCCCCAGUCUCUAGCACAGUACUAGGUACAUGGAGGUGCUGUUAAUGAUUGAACAGGUGACUGUGUAGGUGAAUGAAUGAGGGAGGUGUUUUGAUAGGAUCUUGGGCACACCUUUCCCCUCCCUAGGCCUUUGUUUUUUAUCUUUAAAGAGGCGGAGCUGGGGGAGCUGUCCUUCUCUGGGAACUCCACCCAGCCUGGUCCUUGUCCUACUGAGCCUGGCUGCCGCACUUUCCCCCUGUGGAGAAGCUCCCGACCUGAGAAACCAGUCUGCUGCAGCCUCCCUGCUCUGCGCACUCAGCCUCUGUCAAAUCCUGCUGCUUCCUCUGGUAGACGUGGCUCCUGUCUGGCUUCCUCCCCACACCCUCAUUCUCGAGGGACCCUGACAGCUUCCACAUGGGUGCGGUCACUACUCCUUCCCGAGUCCAGCAGGCAGGCAGCCCAGCGCCAGCAGAGGAGCUGCCCAGGGCCUCUCCCUGCCCCUGGGGGAGAUCCCUUUCCCCCUCUCAGAUCCCCCUGUCGUCCUCCUGCCCUCUACUUUCCUUUCUCUUCUCUCUCGGUCUCUGUGCCUCUGGCUUGGUCCUCUUUUUUCUCUCCCUUCUACUGGCUGUCUGUUUCCUUCUCUGUCCCACUCUCCUCCUCUUUACUUUUCUGUGUCCUUCUCUCCUCUUUCUUCUCUCCAGACUAGUAGUAGCAGCCCCUCCCACUCCACAGGCCUUCCCUCCCCAGCCUGGCUGAGGGCUGCUCUGUUUCUCUGAAGCCCUUUCCUGGCCCUAACUCGAGCCUGAAUCCCCUCUCCUGCCCACCCCACCCCACCCUAUCCCUGUUGGCGGGUGCUCCAGCCUGGUGGGUGUGCUGGGACCGAAACAUCAAGCAUUGCCAUGCUGAGGGGGAGGAAAAAAAUGGCAGUGACCCCUGGUCGAGGCCAUCUGGGCCUUUUCUGGCAUGGAGACGCCCCACCCCCACCCUGCAUGAGUAGCCUGGCCCCUUCCUGUCGCUGAUUGCUACAGUUCCUUGGCCAGGGAGCAGCCCCCAGAACAACGUUGCACUCCUGGCUCUCCAAGGGGCCUAUCUCCCUCAGCUUCCUUCCUCCUGCGUAGCCUGCUGGGGGCUGAGCUACUAGAUCUCCAGGUUGCUCAGCUGGGGAAUGAGACCCCAGAUGGGUGGGGUGUAAAGUCAAGGCAGAGAAAGUGAGAGUGGAAAGUGAUACCCAAGGCAGGAAUCAAACAAGUGAGAUUGAGCCUUAGUGGAUCCUGCUUUGCCUUGGGUGGGGGGGAGGGGAAUGGCCUUAGGCAAACUACUCAAACUACUUCCCUCUCUGAGUCUCAGCUUUCUUUCCUAUAGAUCAGGACCUGGGAUUCCCUUUCAGUGCACAAUUAUGAGAAUUAAAUGUUAAGACAUGGAUACCUCCCCCUCCUCCUCCCCUCUCCCCCCCUGCACUGAAGACUCAGGGUAAGUGUUACUUGAGAUGAAAUUUGAAUGCCUGAUAAGAAAUAAGCCAGGAGCCAGAGACCUGCGUUCAAAUCUCAUCUGUGUCUUCUGUGGAUGGCAGGUGAGGAUGCUCAGAGAUACUGGGCACACAGCAGACUGAGCAAAGGGACCUGGAGAUUACUUUUGCAAUAAUGGACCUUUAUUUUAUUUACAUGUGAUGCUAAGAAUCGAACACAGUGCCUCACACAUGCUAGGCAAUCGCUCUGCCCCUGAGCCACAACCCCAGUGCCGCUUUUGCAGGUUCUUGAGCAAGUGGCCAGGGUGGCUGCUGAGGAGCCAGAGAUUUGAGCUCAGGUGUACAAUGCACCUUAAAGUGGCAUGUCAGACAGACCAGCCCUUCCCUGAUUCUGACUGCCCUGGAACACAUUCCACAUGCUACUGCAUCUGUGCCUGGGCUCCUGCUGUCCUUGGCACAGAUACAGGUGCAGUCACCCUUCUCUGCCUGUUCAUAUCCUGCCUAUGCCCAGCUUGACUGGAAUCCUGAGGUCUUGCUGGGUCAAAGACUUAUUUAUCGACUUGACUUUGGUUAAUGAGCCUCAGUUUACUUGCUUGCAAAUGAUGCUGUUCAUAUCUACCUCUGGGUCUUAAUGAACACUUGGUGGGAAACUCCUAUGAAAGCAUGAUUCUGUACAUAAAUUCUCUCCUUUUCUUGACACCUUUUCUCUCCAAUUUAAAAAAAAAAUGUGUCUUGCUUUCCUCGUUAUGUUAGUUGGCAUUAUUUCCCAUAGAAUGGGCAGUCCUUGAGGACUGGUUAUUUCCAUCGCUGGUAACUAGCACAAGACCUAGCCCAUCACACUCGCAGAGGGAAGUGGGCCUAGCCAUGAGCUUCACAAGAUAAAUAGUCACAUUCUCUGGGCCUCACCAUGUGCCUGGCAGUGUGGGGAGAAUUCUCUGCAUCUGUCAAUCACUCAACAAAUACUUAGUGUGCAUCUCUCAUGUGUCAGGUUCUGCCUACUGUGCUUAGGUGACAUCAGUGAACAAAAGACAUAAAUCCUGUCCUUGUGGAGCAUGACUUCUAAUAGAAUGAGCAGAUGACAAAUAGCAAGCAGCGUGAAUGUUGGAAAGUGACAAGUGCUAUGGAU